rnacentral:rRNA from 1 species
CAGGCCUAACACAUGCAAGUCGAACGGUGGCAGCAAUGCCAUAGUGGCGCACGGGUGCGUAACACGUAACUAACCUGCCCAGACCUGGGGGAUAGCCCGCCGAAAGGCGGAUUAAUACCGCAUAAGAUAAUAAGGUGGCAUCACCUAGUUAUUAAAGAUUUAUCGGGUUUGGAUGGGGUUGCGGGUCAUUAGCUAGUUGGUAAGGUAAUGGCUUACCAAGGCGACGAUGACUAGGGGAGCUGAGAGGCUGGUCCCCCACACGGGCACUGAGAUACGGGCCCGACUCCUACGGGAGGCAGCAGUAGGGAAUAUUGGGCAAUGGGCGAGAGCCUGACCCAGCCAUGCCGCGUGCAGGAAGAAGGCUUUCUGAGUCGUAAACUGCUUUUGAUAGGGAAGAAUCACCAGUACGUGUACUGGAAUGACGGUACGGACAGGAUAAGCACCGGCUAACUCCGUGCCAGCAGCCGCGGUAAU